CUAAAGGAUUUUUUAAAAUCCAAAUCCAAAUCCAAAUCAAAAUCAA
rfam:Macleaya cordata isolate BLH2017 scaffold8987, whole genome shotgun sequence.